rnacentral:rRNA from 1 species
AUACGGAGGGUGCAAGCGUUGUUCGGAAUCACUGGGCGUAAAGGGCGCGCAGGCGGUUUGGUAAGUCAGAUGUGAAAGCCCACGGCUCAACCGUGGAAGCGCAUUUGAAACUGUCAGACUUGAGUACUAGAGGGGAAAGUGGAAUUCCCGGUGUAGAGGUGAAAUUCGUAGAUAUCGGGAGGAAUACCGGUGGCGAAGGCGACUUUCUGGCUAGAUACUGACGCUGAGGCGCGAAAGCGUGGGGAGCAAACAGGAUUAGAAACCCCAGUAGUCC